GGUCUGGUAGCUCAGCUGGUAGAGCAGUAGCCUUUUAAGCUAACGGUCCUGGGUUCGAACCCCAGCCAGAUCA
rnacentral:tRNA from 1 species